UGAGUGCCUCUUCCUAGUCGGACUAAUUGGAUCCGGAGAGUAGCAGAAUUCGCGACGUGUCCUGCGAUGCCCAGGGGUUCAGCUGUUUCGACAAUGCUUCGCAGCGGCUCGGUGACCCAUACCAGCGUACUUGGUGGUGAAGAGGAGAAGGCUGGAGGUCGGCGAAAGUGAAGUUGAUUCCGUGAGCGGCUCCUGCGGUGUGCGUCUGCUGCGAAGGAGAACUCUCUCAAAUCGGGGAAGAAGCGUCGAUUAAAGGCAGCCGCGACGUGAGCGAGUGCUUACGCGAAAGAAUGCGUGACCACCCUGUACGCAUUGGAU
rnacentral:lncRNA from 1 species